GACUUUCGGAUGUUGAAACUCAGUCGAUUCUUGCUCGUAAUUACUCGUUCAACAUUCAUAACAAUUCAAUGAAAAGUAAAUACAUAUAAUUCAAUUUAAAGACAUUUAUUUGCAUAUGAACUUACCUCAUAGUCAGAAUAGAUGAAUCAGAUCAAUUACUCGAUAACUUUCGAUUUCCAGCGAUCUAAAUCCGAUUUCUUUCUUUCAGGAUCUAUAUGAAUUAAAAAUAAACUCAUUUA
rnacentral:lncRNA from 1 species